CUGCGUGCUGGAUGAAGGUCUCUCGGAUUGUAAACAGCUGUAGGGGGGGAUGAAGUGCAUGGGAGCUAUCUCCUGUGUUUGACAGAGCCCCAGAGAAAGCGCGGGCUAAGUCAGUGCCAGCAGCCGCGCGAUAAUACGAACUGCGCGAACGUUAUUCGGAUUCACUGGGCUUAAAGGGUGCGUAGGCGGCUUGUUAAGUGGGAUGUGAAAUUUUGCGGCUCAACCGUAAGACUGCAUCUCAUACUGGCCAGCUGGAGUGAGUCAGGGGUGUGUGGAACUGCCAGUGGACCGGUGAAAUGUGCUUGAUAUUGGCAGGAACGCCGGUGGCGAAAGCGACACACUGGGGCUUAUCUGACGCUGCAGGGCACGAAAGCCAGGGGAGCAAACGGGAUUAGAUACCCCGGUAGUCCUGGUCGUAAACGAUGAGUACUAGGUCGGGGGGAUUCGUCUUCCUAGCCGUAGGGAAACCAUUAAGUACUCCGCCUGGGGAGUACGGUCGCAGGAUUAAGACUCACCGGAAUUGACGGGGGCCCGCACAAGCGGUGGAUUAUGUGGAUUAGUUCGAGUGCAACGCGAAAAAACCUUUACCUGGCCUUGACCUGUAGCGAACUUAGCAGAGAUGCUUUGGUG
rnacentral:rRNA from 1 species